UUCAAAGCAUUUGUUUUUUCAUUUAGUUUUAUAAAUGGGGGCAGGUCAUUCAAAUAAGGGGAGUAUCACAACUCUUAACACAGUUGCUAUAAUCCCUUUUUUUUUGUUGGUUCAGAUUCUCCAUAGCACCCAGCUACUCAGAGAUGUACUCACCAUCUCUAAUGACAGGAUUUCGCUUCUCUUUUUCUGAUAGGAGACAGCUGGGCUCAGGUUGCUUUCUCAUCUGCAGCCAUAACUGUUGUUAGCUCACUUCUUAAGACCUACAAAAACCAACAUUUUUGUGAAGUGUUAGUUAAUUUUAAAUGCUACAGCUACUUUUGCCACAGAGUCAACAGGCAUAGGUGAAGUGUGGCCCUAACCAAGUGGCAAAGCAGCACAGCAAACACAGAGGCCACACCGAGAGUGUCUCAGUUAUUGAACAAAAAGAAAAAAAAAAAGAAAAAAAGAGACUUGUCUUCUGGUUAUGAAAGAAGUUACCCAAAUUUAAAGACUGGAUGUGCAAAAACGUUGAUUGAAAUGCUGACCUUUCAAGUCUGUGGUAAACGAGUUACAGGUUGUUUGGUGGAAAGCUGUUAUGCUAAUGUAAGCUUGUAUGUAAUUUAACCAUAUCCUCAAUAUCAAGAGCUAAUUAAAUGGAAAAAAAAUGUUUUGGCAUCUAAAUAAAGCCUGAAAUAAACCAAAAAGUUUUGUUUUUUCACAGAUUUCAAAAUUAUUUUGUAAAAAAUGAACAUCCAAAACAUCUGCACAAUUGGGAUUGAGAAAUCAGGGACCAGGAUCCAUGAAUUUAUCACCUAUACAGGAAUAAGAUAUUUACCAAGGUUACUCUGUGUAUCAAUGCCAAACAUGAUCUAAACCAGGAAAAAGCUCAUAACUGGGAUAACCUUGUCCAUACCCAACAGUUGGACUCAGAGAAGGCUGCAAAGUCAGGAUCAUGUUACAAGAUUAAAAAGCAGGAUGAUUAGAUGUUUUCUAUAUCAGCUCUGUAGGAUAAUUGUAUAUCAGUUAUAUGUAUGUCUCAUUUGCACUGUCCCAAAGUGGCAGCACAUGUCAUACCCUAUGUUGUAUGGGUAUUCUUGUUCCUUAACACUUAAGAGUCCACACUCAAAACCGUAAUUGAUGGGAAGCUGUCAGUCCAGGUGUUGGUGCUUUUUGGUUUUCUGUUUCGUCUUUCAGCAGGUGAGGAGGGGGCUCCAAGUGGGGAGGUGAGGGGUGGAUGGAGGGUCUUAAACCUUUAUCUUGUCUUCCUCCCAGCUGUUUCCCCCCCGGGAGUGGAAUCCCUCCCCGCUUUAGCUCCGAACUGUGUCGUUAAAAACCAGAACAAGUCAUGGUAAGGGAGGCGGGAGGAAGAAUGUGUAAAGGAGGGAUGAGAGAGGAGGAGUGAAAAAGGCGGAGCGGAGAGGAAGAAAGAUACAAUUGUUCACAGUAAAUCACAAAUACAGAUGGAGUUGUUUGAGAGGGAGACAGCCAGUCAUAUACAAAAAAUAUUACCUGAACGCCUUAAUCAGCCCUUUAGUUUGACUGGCUGGAAAUAUAACCUGUUUUGAAUGUCUUCACAUGAGUACUGUCCUUCUACCUUCCAUAUGAAAGGGUACUGUGACGGGUAAUAAUUCAAUAAGUGAGCUGACAAUAACUGUCUAUACACAGAGCAGCUUUUUCUAUUUUACUUAAAUGGUUCAACCAAAAGACUAAUUCCAAUUCCUUUUUAUUAGGGCUGGGACGAUAUGCUUUUCUCCCGAUUCGAUUCUUCUUUGAUUUUUUGGAUGCCGAUUUGAUUUAAAUUGCGAUUCUAUGAUAUUGUCGAUCUUCUCAAUUUUUAGUCUGCAUUUUUAACACCAUAUUUCCCCAAAAAAUACACGACAUGGAAGGCAGUUUUUAAGAUUUAUUCUUAAAUUUGAAGCAACAAAAAGAUCUUUGAACAAAAUAAUCUAUAUAAAAAUUGUAAAACAAAAAACUGCAAUACUUAUGUGAAUCGAUUUUUUCUCCCACCCCAAAUUUUUAUCCCUUUACUUGAGAUCCAAGACAAUGACGAUACUGUAGCAAUGAACCACACAAGUACGUGUGUGGGUGAGAGCACAAAGAGGGAAGUAGAGGGUUUCAUUUGGGGGAGUUUGGACUACUUGAAUACAGUGCUGACUGUGCAUCGGCCUCAAUAGUCUCUGAUUCUUUAUUAUUUAUAUUUCCUAUUUUUAAUCUUAUGUGAAACAUUUUUGCAUCUGGUGACCUUCACAGGGAUUGACAGAAAAAUAUUAACAGUGACUGAGAGCAUCAUGAACUUUGUUAACCGAAGCAGCGCACUGAGCUGCAGGAGGCCGCUCUGAAAACUGUGUCAAAGAAGCAUCAUGUACAAACAAAAAAACACAAUUUGAAAGACAAAUAGACUUAAUGUGAAUGCUAUUUAAUGGCCUUUAUCUUGUCAAAAGGCACAAAACCUGUGGAGUCAAAACCUUGAAAACCUUGGAGUCAAAAAAGAAAUGUCCUCCUGUAGAUAUUUGCAGAGGUGAUAAGGAUUUUGGGUUGAGAACAGUGUUUUUAAAACUUAAGUCACAUGUUAAUGUCAUGAAAUUAUUAGGUCCUGAUAACAUAGUAAAGGGAAAAUUAAGUCUGCCUAAGAGUGGAGGAAAAGGAGAGGAGGGUAAUGGGUAUGAAAAACAAGAUAAGACUGUUUGGACAGACAGUAAUGAGCAGGAGUGUGGAUGGAGGAGGUGAGGAGACGGAUGUUGAGGGAGGAUGACGAGAGACGAUAGGAGAUGGAGAGGAAAACUGGUUUCAAAGAAGUAAAAAAAAAAGGGGAAAAAAGGACAUUCAAAGCAAGAAAAGGGCGUGUGUGUCCUUGGUUAGAAGGCAGUGUGUUGUCCAAACAGACUGAAAUAGAAGCAGUCAUUACUCCCUGUGCUGCUGUGACUGUUCACUGACGCUGACUUUCUGACUGUAGGAACGUGUGGUCGAUUGUCUGUCACUCUGUUGAACAAUGCAGGCAGGAUAUCACAAGUGAGGCCUUUUGGACUCCAACGUGAAGGAAACUGCAGAAGUCGUAUCUCAUGGUGUUAGCUAAUACAACUCAUUAAUCAACACAAGCUAACAACUAUCGCCACACACAGGUACAGCCGCAGAUCCUCAAGAGUCCACACAAAUGCAGCCGAAACAGAGUUUUUGAAACCUCGAUGUGAACAUGUCAAUGUUUAAACCUGACGAUUGUCCAGGUCUACCUCCGUCCUUUCAUUCAAACAUAUAAAUUGAUUCCUUUAUGCUCUUGCUCAAGUUGUCUGUGAUCCAUCUUACCAUGCGAGGACAGUGUUUGGAAGUGCAGUUUUCCCUUAUUAUGCUCCUGAUUGUAGUUCUUCCUGAGGCAAAGUGCAUUUUGUGGCUUUGUGCCAAGAACACAGUAGGCAGGACAAUGGAAAUGAAAAUAAAAAAAGUAAUAUCCUCCUUUAAAAAAUCAACUAAUGAGCACAUCUGGCACUGCAAUGCCUUCACCAGGCUUUAAUAACUACUGCUUUGAUCACUGGAAAACCAUGAUAUAAACACCAUUAACUCUGCAUGUGGCUAAAUGAGGUUUUCUUUUUAACUAGACUUCUUUGCCGUGAGGUACAUCAUGUAGAAAUAUGUAUCAGUAAAUAUCAAUUUGGGGUGAAAUUCAAGCACAUGAUCAAAUUCAAAGAUGUGGUUACUUUUGGCGGCUUAGUUUCAAAACCUCGUCUUUUUUGGGUGGUUCAAAGAUUCUACAGCAAUUUCAGUUUGACUGUUUUAGUGCAGAUUUAGGUUCUACAAAAGUCACCCCUCACUGAGUUUAACAUCAUCAAAAGAAGUCAGUGUGAUCGAUCAGAUUAAUCUCAGUUUGCAUAUGUUCUCUAUUCACGCCUGGGUUCACUAUGCAGUACUCAAGUUCUGGUACUUAAAUCACUUCUUUCAGUUUACACUGCCCACAGGUUAUAUGUCUGAUAAAGACUACACAAAUGUCCAAUUUGACACUUGCAAUGCUCAGAGUUUCUCAUCAAUAGGGCCAGAUUAAACUGAUCAGCUGAUACAGUCAGGGCCAUGGCGAUGUAAAGGCCUCUAUGACGAGAAAGUUUUGACUUCAACAAAACUGAAAAUAUUGUGUCUCUCUGGUUACCCAUGAUACCAAAGGGACACACAGAAGAGUCUGGGUUCUUUUUGACAAAGAUAAGUCCUACCUGGUUCAUGGAUUUCAUCUCACAACUGUUAAACUGUCUGACCAAAAAAAAAAAAAAAAAAUCCAAAAUCUGAGCUUGCUUUAUGCGCUUUGCAUUGAGAAAUGGAAAAUGAAAAAGGUAAUAUGACUUUUCUUUUUUCUUUUCAAUUUAUACCAGCAAGAAUGGUUGACCUGGUUUUUGGUUCAACACCAUAAAACAAAACAGAGAGGUCGUUUCAAUAUUUGUCUUAAAAUGGUAAAAGGAAAAAAGAAAAGAAAAAAAGAAGGAUGAAUGACAAAAAUAGGCUAAAAGUGCUUUAAGUUUGGUUUUUCUGGUUCUUUGUUUUCCAGAUCACAACAGUAGGGUGACCAUACGUCCUCUUUUACCCAUACAGUUCCUCUUUUGGGGGGGCUGUCCAGGUUUGUCCGGCUUUGUCAGGUUUGGGAAGUUUUUAAAGUCCUUCAAAUGUCCGCGGUUUUGUACAGAGGUUUUGAGUUUGUGUCACGUGGACUUACUGAAUUAGAAGCGCGUACAAGACACUUGAUCCAACCCGGAAAACUCUGUGACUCCGCCCUGGCGUAGUUAUGUCCUCUUUUUGGGGAGACAGAAUAUGGUCACCUCACACAAUAGAGAAAUAAAUAAUUCAAAGGUACCCUGACCUGCAGCCAUAGCUCUGGUACUUAAAGUUUUCUCAGGUAGUGACGGAAGCAGAGCUUUCCGUUUUUCAGCAACCAUGAAAAAGCUGCAUCUUCUCUACUUUCAGUUGAAUUUUCAUGUUUUUCUUUUUUUGACAAAACUUACCAGUAGAGGUGGCUCAGGCUUGGACCAGCUCAAAGUUAUGCUGCUAGAUUCUGAGGUCAAGAAAGUUUGAACAGAUAAAGAAAAGGCUUUUGAGUGCCUUAAAAUAUGAUUGUGCUGGGUCUUGGCAUCUGAAAAUGGUGAAAUUGGCAUCAUUGCAUGCUUUAAUAACGUAAAAAUAAAAUGAUGACAUACAGUUGAAUUUAAUGUAAAGACUGAAGAGAGGAGUGGCUUAUAGAUUGAGCUUUACUGUACAGUAGCAGUCCUUUGAUGUUAAUCUGCUGUCGACUUUGCACUUCCUCUGAGGCUGUAAAACCUGAACACACAGCUGUCUGUCAUCACACACAGCAAGACAGCAGUGUACAUGUUUGUGUGUGUGUGUGUGUGUGUAAAUGUGUGAGAGAGGGAGAGAGAUGGAGGGGGCGAGAGAGAGAUAGAGAGAGAGAGAGAGAGAGAGAGAGAGAGAGAGAGAGAGGAUGAAAAGGUUAGCCUACCUGCUGCUUUCUCAUUAGUGUUUUUCAGAGCCUCUACAAUAGUUAAACAUGCAUGUGUGUAUGGUUUUCUGUAGGUGUGUGUAUAUGUGUGUGUGUAAAUUGGUUCUUACUGAAUGGAUGCUACUGUGUGUUUGAAGUUUAUGCUACUGGCGAAGACAGGGGGAGUUCUGAGUUUUAUUCAGUCUGUGUGUUUGUGUGUGUGUGUGUGUGUGCGUGGCCUCCUGCUAAUAAUCAUUUACUGCAACUUUGUGUGUUCAAUGGGAGGUUUCCACCUACCAAUCAUGUGUUAAACCCCUGUGUGUGAGUGUGUGUGUCGUCUGUUCUUGACAGGAACUGACCACCUACUAAUUGGCUGUUACAGGUCCUCUGUGUCCUCAUCAUUGCUGCGAUGCAAUUAGUCCGUUCCGGGUUAAUGUUCUCACUCUGACCUGAAAAAAAUCUGAAGAGAGGGAACUUAGACAGUGGACACUAAGUACAAUACCUCUUGUUUACAUUUACAAAUGAUCACAUUGGCAACUUGUUAGGCAAUAACAUAAAGGGCAAAUGACGCUAAAAUUUGUAAAGUCUGAGACAUGCAGCAAACCACAGCAAGAAAGUGUUGGCAUUUUCUUGACCAGCCAAUCAUAAGUCAUUAAGUCAUGAAACUUUUAUCGCUAAGGGGAUUCUUGGCUUUGUUUCAUUCUUUAUUUCUGUUUCUUUAUUUCUUUCUUCAUUCUUCUUUUUUUACUUUUUUCUUUCUUUCUUUCUUUUUUAAUUUUUAUCUUUUUUCGUUCUUUUUACUUUCUUUUCUUUCUUUCUUAGUUUUUUCUUUCUUUGUUUCAUUCUUUCUUUCUUUUUCUUUUUUAUUUCUUUCUUUUUAAUCUCUCUCUUUUUUCUUUCUUUUUACUUUCUUUUCCUGUUUUUUCUUUCUUUGUUUCAUUCUUUCUUUUUCUCUCUCUCUUUCCUACUUAUUUUUUCUUUCUUUCUUUUUCCUUUCUUUGUUUCAUUCUUUCUUUUUCUUUUUUGUUUCUUUCUUUUUAAUCUCUCUCUUUUUUCUUUCUUUUUAACUUUCUUUUCCUGUUUUUUAUUUCUUUGUUUCAUUCUUUCUUUUUAUCUCUCUCUUUCCUACUUAUUUUUUCUUUCUUUCUUUUUCCUUUCUUUGUUUCAUUCUUUCUUUCUUUUUUCUUUCUAAUCUCUCUCUUUUUCUUUCUUUUUUACUUUCUUUUCCUGUUUUUUCUUUUUUCUUUCUGUUUCAUUCUUUCUUUCUUUCUUCCUUUCUUUCUUUCUUUCUUUCUUUGUUUCAUUCUUAAUUUAUUUUAUUCUUUCUUUCUUUUUUUCUUGCUUUGUUUCUUUGUUUCUUUCUUCCUUUCUUUUUCUUUCUUUCUUUCUUUCUUUCUUUCUUUCUUUCUUUCUUUCUUUCUUUCUUUCUUUCUUCCUUCCUUCAGCACGUUAUGACACCUGCCAUAGAACUCAUGAAAGGCUUAUAUAUUUAAGAAAUUACAGAAACAACAUUUAAGUCCCUCUCUCAGUCCUCUUCUGUGUUUGUCCCUGUGUUCAGACUCAGACUGCGUUUGUGUCUCGUCACGCGUUUGCCUCGGAGUAACAUUUGUCGAAUUACAGACAAGUGACAGACAUCAAAAAAUGCUUCAAAUUGCCCUUAAGGAUGUAAUAAGUUAAUUCAGUGGGUGUGGGUGUAAAGUGCAGGCCUGUGGGCUAGACUGACUACACUCCACUGCCACCUGUUAUUAAAACAACCCCUGGAAUUACAACUAAGAGAGAGAGAGAGAAAGAGCGAGUUGGAAUCAGUUUAAUUUCAAAUUAUGAAGGAAUUUCCCAAGUUGAGAGAGACAGAGCAUAAGAGAGAGAGAGAGUUAGGCAAAGUUCGUCUUGGUCCGUGGUCUCUUCCCUGCCUCUCUCUCUCACUCUUCGUCAAAAACAGAUAAUUGAAGGCCUUGCUCUGGUCUGGCAAGCAAAAAGGGGGGACGGUUGAGAACUAGACGCAGAGAUCUGGAGCAAAAAAUGAGAGAGAAAGAGAGCGAGGGAAGCCACGUCCACAUGUAUGACUCACUCUUCUUCCCUCCCCUUAGUCUGUAACUCAUCAUCUAUGUCACUCUACCAACCUUUCUCUCUCUCUCCCUUCACUGUCAAUGAGGUCAAACUGAACUCAGAGCAGCAAAAAGUCUUACAGAAAAUCCUUCGACUGGUGCUAUUUAUUCACAGUGCAGCAGUAAAAAGUGUCUGAGUGUAAGAGCCCCUGAGCAAGGCAUUGAUUUCCUAAGUAGUUACCCACACUCCCUCAAGGACAAGAAGACAAAUUGUCUGUUUUUGAUGAGCUUGCCAAGGUGAACUCAGACAGGAUCAUGGAGGUUGUCUGGCAUUUAAAUAUAUACUAUGUGUGUGUUAGGGGGUAUAUUUGUGGCAAAUGCUCCACAGCACCUCUGUAACCACAAGAAAAUGUUCAAAACUGACUGAGGACAGAAGAGGGUAACAAACAAAAACAAAAAGGAAUAAAAGAAAAAUCUAUGGACAUCGGAACAUUUAGUGAGAGGUUCAAAAUCCAAAACAGCCAUCUGCAGAGAGUGCACUGGAUUUAGAGAAAAAUAGAGGGAGAUGAAGAAAGAGAAAGAAGGAAAAAACGAUAGUACAUACAGAUGUAUGGUUGUAGUGCCAGAGAUAGUGGACCAAGCAGAUAUACUAUUUACAUGAACUGCAUGGUGAUGAUAAUGGAUAGAAAGUUAACAGAUCUCUAGUCAUAUCAUAGCAGUAGUGGCUGUUCUUCAGUGAGCUUUAGCUUUGUAACUCUGUUAAAAAUAGCAAGACUGAUCCAUAUAGUUGAAGCAGCUGUAAAGCAGGUACGUCCACAACAGUAGGACACCUGCAUCAGAGAUCCAGAGGGACCUGUGUGAUGAGGGAGCCCAGGGACUCUAAAGUUAUAGCAGCAUAACUAACUCUAACUGUGAGCUUUUAAAGAAGAGAAAUUUGAGGCCUAUUCUUGAAGGGAGAGAGGGUGUCUGCCCCCUGAACCUCGACUGGUAGAUAGUAAAAGUAUGAUGAGCAGGCUUGCAUAUGCAGACUGUUCUGACUAUGAAGAGCUUUGUUGGUCAGAAGAACUUAAAUUUUAACCCCAAAUUUAAAGGGAAGCCAGUGUAGAGACGCCAAUUUGGGGGAGCUGUGCUCUCUUCUCCUGGUUCUGGUCAGUACUAGAGUUGCAGCAUUUUGAACCAGCUUAAGAUUCUUUAAAGACUACUUAGUGCAGCCUGAUAAAAGGAAAUUACAGUUAUCCAACCUAGAGGUGACAAAUGCAUGUGCUAAUUUUUUUUUAAGUUGUCCUGAGACGGGGUGUGCCUGAUGGUUGAUAUAUUUCUCAGGUGAAAAAAGGCAGUUCUGGAGAUUUGUUGGAUAAAUCCUGGUCGAAGACAACUCACAGACUCUGAACCGUCUACUGCACUUACGUCUUUAGAAAAUGUCUCUCUAAGGUGUUUGAGGACAAGAACAAGAACUUCAGUUUUGUCAGAACUGAGUAGCAGGAAGUUUCUGGUCAUCCAGGUCUUCAUGUCUUUAGGGAAUGCUACAAGUGAAGUUAAUCUACUAGUUUCUCCUAGCUUCUGUGAUAGGUAUAAUUUAAUGUCAUCUGCAUAACAAAGAAACUUUAUGGGAUGGUCCUUGAUUAUAUUACCUUGAGGAAGCAUAUAUAAGUUAAAAAGGAUUGAUCCAAGCACUGAACCUUGUGGAACUCCAUAUCUGAUCUUGGUGUGCACAAAGACCUUUGAUUAAUAUGCGCAAACUGGGGUCAGAGGACAAAUAUGAACCAAGAUCAAACAGUUCCUGUAAUGUCAAAUAGUUGUUCAAGUCUCUGUGAUGAGGGGAUGGCCAAUUGAGGCAGCUAUAAGAUCUAACAAAAAAAAGUACUUAAAGAAGACCACUGUCCUCGGCCAUCAGUACGUCAUUAGUCACCCUCAGAAGUGUGGUUUCAGUGCUGUGGUGGACUCUGAAUCCUGACUGAAAAUCCUCAAGUGAACUGUUGCUGUUUAGCAAGUCACAGAGCUUAUGAGCUUCCACUUUCUUCAGUGUUUUUAAAAUAAAGGGAAUGUCUGAAUUUGAAUUGACAUUAAGGUAUUGUUGUAAUGUUUAAAUGUAUUAAAGAAACAUCUCUGUCACACUUUGUUCAGUGCUGUCUGCUCUGGAUUUAACUACAAAGUCAUCACCCAAAACAUCACAGUGAGAUAGCAAUUAAACAGGCUUUUGGGUGUAACCUCUUCUCAAUGUCUUUGUCACUUCAGUUUGGUUUACACUGCCUGUUGAGAGUUGGCUGCAGAAUUUAGUGCAUCUCAAACAGCCAACCACCGACACAGACAGAUACGCUCUGCUGUAUGUUAGCAGGGGGAGAGCCUUUGGUCAUACAGCAACAUACAUUUAGCAUUUUAGUGACAUCACCCCUCUGUAGUCAUUCACACAUGCGGUUAAUGUUUAGAGUGAAGUUUGGUUUAAGGAGCACAACAAUAAGGGAAACGUCCUAUCGAAAAUAUGGGGAGUGAAGGUGACAAAAGUGAAACAAAAAAAAAAAGAGAGAGAGUUAAAGAUAAAGAAUGAAAAAGGAAAGACUAGCGAAGGGAUAGGCUGGAUCAAGAAGAAGAGAGGAGGGGGUCAGCUGUGAGUGAACGAAUGGAAAAGCAGACGGAGAAGUGACUCAGUACAGCCAGAGAGAGAGAGAGAGAGAGGAAUGUUUAACACACUUAAUGUCUCUCUGUUGCACUUACUUUCCCAGUUUCCCAACAUGCAAAGAAUAUCAG